UCCGAAUUGGUGUAGUGGCUAACAUUUGACGCUCUCAUCUGCCUUCUCGUGCCUCAUCAGAGGUUCAGGAGUUGCCAGUACCAGUGCCGUCAAGCCCGGGGUUCGAUUCCCCGAUUCGGAG